AGAGAGAGAGAGAGAGAGAGCAGAUAGAGAUUUUGGGCGAAAGAGAGAGAGAGAUUGGAAAAGGGAAAAUACACACAUAGAUAGAGGUGAAAAGAAUAGGGAGAGAAUGAGGCUAUUUUUUUUCAUUUCCUAAUCCAUUAACGGCAAAUUGAUGGAACUUAGACAAAAGGACUAAGUUGUAAACGAAAUCAAAGCUUAGGAACAUUAUUAUUUCAAACUGAAAAUACAGGGAUUUAGUUAUUAUUUUUGCCAAAACCUUAGGGGUCAAGUUGUAAUUUACCCUCGUAACCACUAAGAGAUUUUCAGAUCACGGAUUUAAAGUUUACACAUUACCAAAAAGAAUGUUUUGACACUACUAUGAAAGGUCUCUAUAGGUUAGCUCUGCCUUAAAUAGUUAGAAGAAUCAACAACAUAAACCUGACACACUAAUGGUAAG
rnacentral:misc_RNA from 1 species